UUCUCUCUCUCUCAUCUUCUUUUUCUCUCUCCCUCGCCCGAGUCUCUCCCUUUUACAACACACACACACAUAGACACCAUCAUCAAAACUUGCAGAUCGAACCCAGAAACACCACCAUCACACUCAUCUCGAACCCAUGAACCCACCCGUACAAGACGAUUCGAAAAUGAUCGAGUUUUGACUCGUUAACUCGGAAGCUCUAACUCGAUGGGUUUUACUCUGACGUGUUUUUGGUCGUGUUGCACGAUUUUGGGAGCUUUGGAAGCACUUACUCGACUCCCUGUGACCACUAGCCUAGGUUUGGAGAGAAGACAACGUAGAAACCCACGGUUUUGGGACAUCGAACUUAAGGCCGAGACUCUCGAGUAGAAUUUGAUCCAUUUCCGUCCACCUUUUGGACUUUCAAGAGUUUUCGACGAAACCAGACGACGGUGGACGACGAAGGUUCAUCGGAGAAAAAGGAGAAUGUUCUGUCAAAGUUGACAAAAUAUUCCAUCAAGUCUGAUGGAAUAUUCCCUGGAAUAUGUCAGUUCUGCCAACGCAUAGGCGCGUGUGUGGCCGUGGGCUAGGCGGCGCAUGAGGGCACAUUUGGCCUCCUACCGGCGAUUGCUUGACGUGUACGGGUCCGCAACAUCAAGUAGAACAUUUUCAUAUAUUUAAACCUUCCGUUUGAGUAAGCUAUGAGGAAAUCUACCUAGCUUUUAGUAUAUGUCUUAUUAAAUUAAUUAGUUUAGUUAUUUCACAUACAGGUGAAAAUUACCCCAAUGAGGAACGAGGACAAGCGAGGUUAGGAGGUUACGAUCCAUCGACGUAUCAGUCCUAGAUAGCUGAAUUACUCUAUGGCGUAUGAGGAUUAGCCGGCGAUUCUGACAUACCCCUAAUAAAUGUGAUGGCCAACAUGCCUCGACUUCGGUCGAUGUCUGUCAUUACUACAUUCGGCACACUAAAAGCUGAAUUCGAUAUUGAACUUCGCAGAACUAGCAGCCUUGUCUUCAAGUUCUAAAACCCGAAGGCUGAGACGUGUUUCUUCCUCGAUCGCAAUCACGAGAUCAAGAAGUCAACAGUGUGCCUAACGCCACAUCAACAUUCAUUUUACUCCCCGGCCGAGCUCGGUUGAUGAGUUAGCACGCCCUGCGUUCGACCGAAGGACGUAGUUAGCUUAUUAGCUAUUCGGCUUGCGUGCUAUGUAGGCUAAGUAGUUUUUAGGAUCAACAUAGCAGGUCAUAGGUCCAAAGUUCGAUUCCUCAUUCCCAAAAUUGUUUUAUUAAAAAGGAAAAAUGACACAUUAUAGUCGUUGUUUCUAUCUGAUUUGUAAAUAACACAUGAAAACUAGGCAUAUUAACUUGGAAUUGGCUAAAUCGUGGAUCGGAGAGAAAAUAAAUUUGAUCAAAGAAAA